rnacentral:rRNA from 1 species
GACGAACGCUGGCGGCGUGCUUAACACAUGCAAGUCGAACGGAAAGGCCCUGCUUUUGUGGGGUGCUCGAGUGGCGAACGGGUGAGUAACACGUGAGUAACCUGCCCUUGACUUUGGGAUAACUUCAGGAAACGGGGGCUAAUACCGGAUAGGAGCUCCUGCUGCAUGGUGGGGGUUGGAAAGGUUCGGCGGUUGGGGAUGGACUCGCGGCUUAUCAGCUUGUUGGUGGGGUAGUGGCUUACCAAGGCUUUGACGGGUAGCCGGCCUGAGAGGGUGACCGGCCACAUUGGGACUGAGAUACGGCCCAGAGUCCUACGGGAGGCAGCAGUGGAGAAUAUUGCGAAAUGGGCGGAAGCCGGAUGCAGCAACGCCGCGUGCGGGAUGACGGUCUUCGGGUUGUAACCCGCUUUCGCCUGUGACGAAGCGUGAGUGACGGUAAUGGGUAAAGAAGCACCGGCUAACUACGUG